rnacentral:rRNA from 1 species
GAUGAACGCUAGCUACAGGCUUAACACAUGCAAGUCGAGGGGCAGCAUGAACUUAGCUUGCUAAGUUUGAUGGCGACCGGCGCACGGGUGAGUAACACGUAUCCAACCUUCCGUUUACUCAGGGAUAGCCUUUCGAAAGAAAGAUUAAUACCUGAUAGUAUGGUGAGAUUGCAUGAUAACACCAUUAAAGAUUUAUUGGUAAACGAUGGGGAUGCGUUCCAUUAGGUAGUAGGCGGGGUAACGGCCCACCUAGCCGACGAUGGAUAGGGGUUCUGAGAGGAAGGUCCCCCACAUUGGAACUGAGACACGGUCCAAACUCCUACGGGAGGCAGCAGUGAGGAAUAUUGGUCAAUGGGCGAGAGCCUGAACCAGCCAAGUAGCGUGAAGGAUGAAGGUCCUACGGAUUGUAAACUUCUUUUAUACGGGAAUAAAGUAUCCUACGUGUAGGAUUUUGUAUGUACCGUAUGAAUAAGCAUCGGCUAACUCCGUG